ensembl:lncRNA
AUGACCCCACGUCUCCUCUUCCUUUACUGAACGAGACUGAAAUAGUUUUAGCUACUCCAGGGUGAUUUGAGGGGGCGGUAGUACUUUGGAUGCCUAAAGCGACUUUGAGGAGACUGCAAGUCAAUUCCAACUGAUAGAGGGACCGACGAGAGUUUGAAUGGGGAAUAAAUCAGUUUCACAGGAUCUUACCACCAGAGGGCGCUCCUUCUCUGGAUAAUAUGGAGCUGUGAUCAACAUGUAUCAGGCUGAUUUUCAGACAGUUUCCCAUCCAGAAACAACCCGGACUGACCCUGUCCAAGACAGACUCUGCUCUGCUUUAGAGCCGCGCCAGCAGUGGGAUGCGGAGUACUACAUAGGGUUAAUGGGGACUAUUUGACAUCCCAUCACUCCCUGCCCUGAUGUCUGUCUAGGAUGUAACGGAGC